rnacentral:tRNA from 1 species
AUUCCAAAUGCGUUGGUUGCAAGUUCAAGUCUUGCCGCCCUUGAGUAAUUUAGUUGGAGUU